CACCGCUUUGCUCCCCCAGGAACACCAGCUUGAAUUUCCUCAGCGGAUUCCCGAAGUCUCCGCCCGUGGACAUUGUGGAACUAGAGGAGCGGCCGCCGCCUCAGCCUAGAGACCUCCCGGACCGAUGCUGCUCCAGCCAGCUGACGAAAAAGGCGAGCGGAAGGGCGGCCGCCGCCGCCUCCCGGCAGAGUAGCCUAGCACCGAGCGAGGCCCGCGGCUGGGAAGGGAAGGAGGGCGGUGUCGGCAGGAGCCAGGGGUGUCCUCUGGCUUCCCAAAGCUAGGGCCGUUCCCUCCUUCCGCACUCGGCUCCCAGACCUGGGGAAGAGAAGCUGAGGGUGGCGGAGCCGGAACCGCAGACGUAUCUGGGACCUCUCACGCGCAGCGCCUGAGCUUCCACAGCUGCCGCCGCCGCCGCAGCCCAACCUGCU
ensembl:lncRNA novel transcript